ACCGAGGAGGAGGGACUCGAACCCCCAAACGCUUUUACACGUCUACAUGAUUUCAAAUCACGCUGAAUACCAGUUAUGAUACUCCCCGA
rnacentral:tRNA from 1 species